GGUGACAAGAAACAAGUGAAGCUAAAGGUUCGGGGUGCAAGCGAGACUGAGGUCAAGAAUGUGGAGGUGCGAGGGACUGUGGAUGUGGGGAAGCUGUACGAACGCCUCAAGAAGAUGGCAUCCAGUGUCAAGAUUGAAUCGGUUAUUCCGGAUGAUGUAAAGGAAGAAAUAGAGAGAUACAAGAAAGACCUUGAAAGAAUGAAGAGACAGAAGGAAGAUCUAGAGAUAAAACUAAGGGAAAAAAGGGAAGAAAAAAAGGUUCUCCAGGCCGACAAAACAGCUGCCGAGGAAGAGCAGAAAAGAUUGAAGAGAGACAAAGAAAAUCUCAAUUUAAAGGGAGGGACAUCAAUUGAGUAUCACGGCGUGGAGGUGCAUCAGAAGAUGAAUCAUAUGCAUCAGGAGGUACACAUGCAUGAAGUCGUUCGCAAGCUUAAGAUAUCGGACAACGAUCAUGGAAACGCUAAUGGGAGGGGGCAUGGACAACUCCUGCAGCAGCUUGGCCACGGAAGAAAUUGA
rnacentral:lncRNA from 1 species